rnacentral:lncRNA from 1 species
CACAGGAUGAGAGUAAAUCCUCCCACUCAUCCACGCUACUCCAUGGAUUCUUGGCCAAGUCACAUGUAAGGAACAGAAGUCAAAUGCAGAACAAAGGACAAGUUUGCUUAAUGCUCUGCAGGCACCAUAAAACCCCCAAAUGAAGGCCUUCUUUGAUAAAAGCUGUAUAGGAGGAAAAAAAUGGGGCUUCUUCCUCCCUGUUCCCUUGAAUCUAGAAUGUCUGGGCCUACAGAGCUGUCUCUAAGUCCCUUAACCCAAUCAGCAGCACGGGUAAGGAUGGCCUUUACCUGUUUGCACUACAUUCCCAUUGGUAGGCACAGAGCCAGGCACGGAGAGGGAAUUGGGUCCAGCAGGCCCUGCCCUGUGACAGAGGAACUGGGAAGAGGGCUGCGUUCGUGGAUGCAGGAAGCGAAGGUGCGUCGUAGCCCCAGCUGCUAGUAAAACGCUGUCCGGUGAUCACUCCAGGCUCUGAUCAGUGACAGGAGCUCCUCUUAGGGAGAAGCUAUCAAGGGAGGGAGUAGACAAAGGCACUAGAAGAGAUCAAACGGAUGAAAGUUCCUUUAAUCCUAUUGUGAGAGAGAAAAACCAGAGAAGGCCUCUUCCUCCUCUAAAAAUCAGAAAAUAUUUUUGAGUGAAUGUAAAGAUUGUCCAUACUGUCUCCUCCUUUGCUUACCUGCAUCCUGAAUCCCACCUCAAAGGAUAGUCAGAGAACGUGAAAUGAUAUCAAAAAGGACCUAAAGAUCAGAGAUUAGAAAGCCUCAUGUAAAUACUGCAUUUUUUUCCCUAUUAAAAUCUACUGGUCAUUUCAGAGAAUCAAUUCAUUCUAAUCAGGCUUCAAGCCACGUAAACCAGCAGGUAGCUCUCUUCCAAUGAUUAAAAGUCGGAGAUGGAGAAAUUGACUGAGAAAAGCGCUGAAUUUCCUUUGCUGGUUGUGGGCUGUAUCUGUUUAUUAGAAAAGCCCCUGUGUUUUCAGAGAUGCACAUGCCCCAGAUGGGCUGCCUGGGAAUGGAGGCAAGCCGGUCUCCCAGAGAUGCCUGAUCUCAGGACCUUACAUAUUAGAGGAAAAUACAAGCCUGUUUGGACAGACAGCAAGAGUUGCCACUGGAAGCGUUUGUGCCAGCUGCUAUGGGAUUUUGGCUCCUCCAGCCUUUUGGAGCUCUCUGGGGCCAGGCUGAGAAGGUUUGGAGGGGGAAGUCUCUGCACAGUGGUGUCUAAUGGUGGCAAAGCUCAGUCUCAAUUCUAAUUUGGCUUUUCACCCAGCCCCACAUGUACCAAGGACAGGUAGGCACGGAAAGACUUUAGAGACAGUUGUGGCUUCCUUGAAGAAUGUAAUGUACCGCCCUUCACCUUGGCAAAGCUUCAUACGUCUUUGUCAUAAAGCUCAUGUGGAAGAAAAGAGAAACAGAGGAAGGACAAUAGCAUUAUGCCUCACAGGCUACUGGAUGCAGGGCUGGUCUCAGGGCAGAGGCAGGAGCUCUGAGGGCAAGACCACUGAGAAGAAGAUGACCACAUAAUUUACUGUCCAAAUGGGACACAUCUGAGAAUGAAUGGGGAAAGUCAUGAUACUUAUGCUGGGACAAGAGGCAUAAACCGGACAUCUGGUCACUCUUCCUAAGAGGACACUGUCUUCAGCCUGCAGGGGACAUAGUUUUGCUGCAGUGGACGGAGCACUGGUUGGAAUCAGAAGGCGCGGAUUUGAGGUCCUGACUCUUGGUGGCUGGUGAGGCCUGAGCCAUCCCUUCACCCCCAGAGACUGCUUCCUCCUCUGCAAAGUCAGGGGUGAUACUAUCGACCUCACAGGGCUGUUGUGGAGAGUGAGUGGGAUGCUGGGCAUUGUAAAGCAUGAUUCGCCGUGAACAUAUUAGGUAUUGGGGACCAAUCCCCCUGCAGCCUCUUGUUAGUGAAGCCAGAAGAAGGGCCUUGUGGGAGAAGCCUGAUUAAGGGACCAAAAGGGAAGUAAAUGCACAGUGCUGCCUUCAACCACAUCCCAUUCCUCCAAAGGGAGAGGAAACCCUCACAUUAGCCCAAGGUAUAGGCAAGGCGGGGUCAGUGGGUCGGACAGCGUCCCUCCAGAAUUCGUAUCUACCUGGAACCUCAGAAUAUGAACUUAUUUGGAGCUAGCAUCUUGCAGAUAUAAUUGAGUCAGGAUUGAGAUGAGAUCCUACUGGAUUAGGGUGGGCCCUCAAUUCAAUGCGAGUGUCCUCGUAAGAAGAGAAGACAUACAGAGGCAGGGAGGAAGACCA